rnacentral:rRNA from 1 species
UACGGAGGGUGCGAGCGUUGUCCGGAAUCAUUGGGCGUAAAGGGCGCCGUAGGUGGCGGGACAAGCGUGCGGUGAAAGCUUGGGGCUCAACCCCGAGUCGGCCGUGCGAACUGUCUUGCUUGAGCACUGUAGAGGCAGGCGGAAUUCCCCAAGUAGGAGGUGAAAUUCGUAGAUAUGGGGGAGGAACACCGGUGGCGAAGGCGGGGUCUCUGGGCCGUAACUGACGCUGAGGAGCGAAAGCAUGGGGAGGCGAACGG